GUGCUGGCUUCAGCAGCACAUAUACUAAAAUUGGAAUGAUACAGAGAAGAUUAGCAUGGCCCCUGCACAAGGAUGACAUGCAAAUUCAUGAAGCGUUCCAUAUUUUC